AGAUGCACAAAGCUCAUGCCUAAAUGACACAUCUAAUGCAACAAAGAUCAGUGUUUAAAAUGAAAUCCACCAAACAGAAGUAAGAUUUUAAAAUCAUUUUUUUUUUCUAUUUUUCAAAGCUUUUCUUCUUUCUAAUUCUAGCCAAAUAUGAGCUCUGGAAUUUUCACUCUUGCGUUAGUUUUUGAGAAUCUAGUUCAAAAAUGUUGACAGUAAUUACAUAUCAAAGGUUAAUAUUUACUGAGAAACUUCUUGAAAUCAAACUUUUUCUAAUUCCUACAAAAUUCCUUAUCAUUUUUUUUUUUCACUUGUUCACUUGGUAAUUUACAUAAAGCUUAUCAACUCAUAGAAUUCAUGCCGUCACCUCUGAACUCUAAAAAUGAAUUCUCAUAUAGUAAAAUUCAAAGUUGCCUGCUUGUGAGUGGGAUUGCCUUACUUUUCUA
rnacentral:misc_RNA from 1 species